rnacentral:rRNA from 1 species
GUAGUCUCGCACAGAUGCAUAUCAAUAAGCGGAGGAAAAGAAACUAACAAGGAUUCCCUCAGUAACGGCGAGUGAAGCGGGAAGAGCUCAAAUUUGAAAUCUUGAAAGGUCACCUUUCACGAAUUGUAGUUUAAAGAAGUGUUUUCUGUUACGAUCGUAAUAUAAGUUCUUUGGAAUAGGACAUCACAGAGGGUGAGAAUCCCGUCUAUGAUUGCGAUUUGUAGCUUUGUGAUACACUUUCAAAGAGUCGGGUUGUUUGGGAAUGUAGCCCAAAACGGGAGGUAAAUUUCUUCUAAGGCUAAAUAUUGGCGAGAGACCGAUAGCGAACAAGUACCGUGAGGGAAAGAUGAAAAGAACUUUGAAAAGAGAGUUAAACAGUACGUGAAAUUGUCAAAAGGGAAGCGUUUGACACCAGUGUUGAUUUCUCGAAAAUCAAUUAAAAAGAGUUAGAUUUUGUUGUGUAUUGACCUUAACAGCUUGCAUUUCAAUUUUCUUGCUUUUUUUAAUGCACUUUUCGUUUAACAAGUCAACAUCAGUUUCUUUUGUUGUAAAAAGGUCAUUGGAAGGUGGCUUUCUUUUCGGAGAAAGUGUUUAUAGCCUUUGACUCCUGCAAUCGGAGAGACUGAGGUCUGCAGCGUAGAUCCUUCGGGGUUAGAUACAUUUGUGCUAAGUUAUAGCUUUUUAUAGACAACUUGUUGACUAUGAUUAGUCUUGUAGCUUACUCGCUUAUGCUAUUUUACCUACGCUUAGGAUGUUGAAGAUGUAGCACAUCAU